rnacentral:rRNA from 1 species
AUUGAACGCUGGUGGCAGGCCUAACACAUGCAAGUCGAGCGGUAGAGAGGAGCUUGCUUCUCUUGAGAGCGGCGGACGGGUGAGUAAUGCCUAGGAAUCUGCCUGGUAGUGGGGGAUAACGUUCGGAAACGGACGCUAAUACCGCAUACGUCCUACGGGAGAAAGUGGGGGAUCUUCGGACCUCAAGCUAUCAGAUGAGCCUAGGUCGGAUUAGCUAGUUGGUGAGGUAAAGGCUCACCAAGGCGACAAUCCGUAACUGGUCUGAGAGGAUGAUCAGUCACACUGGAACUGAGACACGGUCCAGACUCCUACGGGAGGCAGCAGUGGGGAAUAUUGGACAAUGGGCGCAAGUCUGAUCCAGCCAUGCCGCGUGUGUGAAGAAGGUCUUCGGAUUGUAAAGCACUUUAAGUUGGGAGGAAGGUCAGUAGCUUAAUACGUUGCUGAUUUGACGUUACCGACAGAAUAAGCACCGGCUAACUCUGUGCCAGCAGCCGCGGUAACAC